rnacentral:rRNA from 1 species
GACGGAAGGUGCAAGCGUUGCUCGGAAUCACUGGGCGUAAAGGGUGCGUAGGCGGCCGUGCAAGUCUGGCGUGAAAGCCCCGGGCUCAGCCCGGGAAGUGCGCUCGAAACUGCGCGGCUCGAGUGCCGGAGGGGAGAGUGGAAUUCCUGGUGUAGCGGUGAAAUGCGUAGAUAUCAGGAAGAACACCCGUGGCGAAGGCGGUUCUCUGGGACGGUACUGACGCUGAGACGCGAAAGCGUGGGGAGCGAACAGG